GGGUUGUGCUGGCAAUUUGGGCUUUACAUAUUUGGGAGUAAAAGGAGUGGAUCCUAUUGGAAGCAGGUGUUGAAGACGGUGGUUAUUUCUAGGGAAAGUCUGGUUUUAAUUAACAAGAAUAACAAGGAUGAAGAGCUCAGAUGGUCUGGAGGAACAUCGUCCACUUCAGUUAUUGGAGGAGCCAUCAGAGCCACGGUGUGGGGCAAGAACAGUGUUCAAAUCCUCACUUCAUCAUAGCCCUUCCAGUGCCUAUGUGACUUUGGAUACCUCUAGUUUCCAUGAAGGCCAUCUUUAGAAAUGUGGGAAAGCAUAAUGACAAAGCUUUUAAUUUCCAGCAAGAAAAGACCACUGGCAGAGAAAGCAGUUAACAAGAAUAACCACAUAAGAGUAGAAUACCAGCUGCUCACACUUCAAGGAAGAUAAAUCUCAUCGUAAACCAAGGCCAGAGGUGACAGGAUCACAUCAAUAACAAAUCUGGCCCCCUCAUCCAAUGUUCUAUCUGCGCAUACUUUCUCAGUUCAUCAUCUUUGGCAUUCAUGCCUCC